ACUUUUGUCGUGCAACUGGUAGUACGUCCGACUUGCAAUCGGAAGAUCCGGAGUUCGAAUCCCGAGGGUA
rnacentral:tRNA from 1 species